CUCAAGUGGCGGACGGGUGAGUAACACGUGAGAAUUUGCCUUUAGGAGGGGGAUAACAGAGUGAAAACGCUGCUAAUACCCCAUAUGCUUUCGAGUGAAAUGGAUUUAUUCGCCUAAAGAGAAGCUCGCGGCUGAUUAGCUUGUUGGUAAGGUAAUGGCUUACCAAGGCGACGAUCAGUAUCUGGUUUGAGAGGACGAUCAGACACACUGGAACUGAGACACGGUCCAGACUCCUACGGGAGGCAGCAGUGGGGAAUUUUCCGCAAUGGGCGAAAGCCUGACGGAGCAAUACCGCGUGAGGGAUGACUGCCUAUGGGUUGUAAACCUCUUUUCUCAGGGAGGAAAUCAAUGACGUUACCUGAGGAAUAAGCAUCGGCUAACUCCGUGCCAGCAGCCGCGGUAAGACGGAGGAUGCAAGUAUUAUCCGGAAUCACUGGGCGUAAAGCGUCUGUAGGUGGCUUAACAAGUCAACUGUUAAAUCUUGAAGCUCAACUUCGAAAUCGCAGUCGAAACUGUUAGGCUA
rnacentral:rRNA from 1 species